AGCUAAGGUCAUUGUUUUACACAUUUUCAAAGCUAAGGUCGUCGUUUUAACACAUUUUCAAAGCUAAGGUCAUCGUUUUACACAUUUUCAAAGCUAAGGUCAUCGUUUUACACAUUUUCAAAGCUAAGGUCAUCGUUUUACACAUUUUCAAAGCUAAGGUCAUCGUUAUUACACCAUUUCAAGGUUUAGCUCUUCUUUUGACCUGUAUUCCUUUGUUUCACUUCAUUGGUCCACCUCCUCCUCCUCCUCCUCCUCCUCCUCCUCCUCCUCCUCUCGGUCCUGUCUUCUGCUAACCCACACACAUCGCUGAUCACUGACGACACAUUAGCUUUGGUUUACUAGUACAGCAGCGUAUGUUACUAUUUGUUAAGUCAGCGUUGGGUUCCGUUAGUUCAAGGUGACGGGAUGUGGCUGGGAGGACGUGGCUGUGGUGGUGGCCUGCUCCGACAAUUAGAAAUCAUGUAAUUCUGGAUAUUUAAACUCCUCUAUACUGUUCCUAUUUCUAUGUACUUUGCUUCAUACUUUUCCCUCUAUGUCCCUUCCCUUUCUCUUCUCUCUCCUUUGUCUUACUCUUCCUUCUCUUUCUUCAUUUUCCUUCCCUUUUCCUCCUUUUCCUUCCUUUCCCUGUUGUUAUCUUGCUGUCCUUUUUCUUUCCCUUCUUAGUUUCUCUUCUCUUACCUUCUUUCUCCUUCUCUUUCUUCAUUUUCCUUCUCUUUUUCAUUAUUUUCCUCCUUCUCCUUCCUUUCUCUCACCUUAUCUUACUCUCCCCUUUCCUUCCCUAGUUCCUCUUCUGUUUUAUCUUCCUCCUCCUCUUUGUCUUUCUUCAUUUUCCUUCUCUUUUUCAUUAUUUUCCUCCUUCUCCUUCCUUUCUCUCUCCUUAUCUUACUCUCCCCUUUCCUUCCCUAGUUCCUCUUCUGUUUUAUCUUCCUCCUUUUCUUUGUCUUUCUUCAUUUUCCUUCUCUUUUCCUUUAUUUUCCUCCUUCUCCUUCCUUUCUCUCUCCUUAUCUUACUCUCCCCUUUCCUUCCUUAGUUCCUCUUCUGUUUUAUCUUCCUCCUCCUCCUUCUCUUUCUUCAUUUUCCUUCUCUUUUCCUUUAUUUUCCUCCUUCUCCUUCCUUUCUCUCUCCUUAUCUUACUCUCCCCUUUCCUUCCUUAGUUCCUCUUCUGUUUUAUCUUCCUCCUUUUCUUUGUCUUUCUUCAUUUUCCUUCUCUUUUUCUUUAUUUUCCUCCUCCUCCUUCCUUUCUCUCACCUUAUCUUACUCUCCCCUUUCCUUCCUUAGUUCCUCUUCUGUUUUAUCUUCCUCUUCCUCAUUGUCUUUCUUCAUUUUCCUUCUCUUUUUCUUUAUUUUCUUCCUCCUUUCUUUCCCUUUCCUUAUCUUACGCUCGCCUUUCUUUCCCUUCAAUAGUUUCUCUUUUCUUUCACCUUCCUCCCCCUCCUCCACCUCUUCCUCCUUCCCUUCCUUUAGUCUUUUCUCCCUUUCCCCACUUUUGCUUCUGUUCCCCCUCUCCUUCUCUUCCCUUCACAGUUCUUUAUCAUCAAGGUAUAUGCACACACUCCCUAUACAUAUCCAACUGUGUAUUCAUCCCUAUAUCCGUGUGUAUAUAUAUUUGUCUAUCAAUGCGUACCUAUCCUUUCUCUCUCUCUCGCUCUGUUCAUAAACCUGGUAGGAGAAAUAGAUAUGUACAGUCCGUUAAUCCUUUUUGAACCAUUUUAUUCUCAGAGUGUGUGUGUGUGUGUGUGUGUGUGUGUGUGUGUGUGUGUGUGUGUGCGUGCGAAUCGCUUGUGUUUUCCUUUAAUUUCUUACAUGGUGUUCCCUUCUGAUCAUCACUUAUAAAUACGCCUAAAGUAACAUUAUACACAGUUCUCUCGGAGGCUGGCGAGGGGUGGAUGUGUAGGUCGUCAUAUAGUUGUUAGGAGGUGUUACGGCAGCCUCUCACUGGGGGAAGAUUUAACCGAGUAUUCAUUCAUUGAUUUUCUCUGCGGAUAACUGGUUCGUAUAUACUAUUACUACGACUUCUGACACUUCUUUCAUUUAUAGAUUUAACCGAGUACUUGUUCAUUCAUUUUCUCUGUGGAUAACUGGUUCGUAUAUAUAAUUACUACGACUUCUGGCACUUCUUUCGUUUAUAGAUUUAACCGAGUACUUGUUCAUUCAUUUUCUCUACGGAUAACUGGUUCGUAUAUACUAUUACUACGAUUACUGCCACUACUUUCAUUUAUAGCCGUUUGGUGUUUGAUUCUCAUGUUAACUAUUUGUCUACUAAGUUUUUGUUAUCAUUAUUAUUAUUCCAGUUGGGUUGUAGGAUGGGGAGAAGAUUUAGAUAGCGAAGGAAAAUAGUACUAAUGUUGUUUUCAUGAUUUUUUUUAUUACUACUACUACUGCUGCUAUUAAUACUACCACAGCAACUACUAUCCUUACUUCCACUGUUCGUUUGUGAUAUCCGUUGAGUCGUCUGAGUCUGCGUCGUAAGUGCAAAAUUGAGAAAUCAGAAACAACAAUUCAUAAUUUUCACUCGUAGGCAAAAAAGUUACUAAGGCAAAUUGUACAACACUCACAUCCCGCAGAAUGACACAGGUUCGUCGAGCGACUCCCAGAAACGGUGUACAACAAGCCUUUUUUUUCUGCGGAACUAAUAUAAAACCUAAGCAAAAAUGUGAAAAAAAAAAAAAUCAUUGAAGUUCACGAGAUGCCAAAUAUGUCGGGAUCAAAUACACGUACAUCUUUUUAUCAUUAUUAUUAUUAUUAGGCGAUUGUAGCCAAAGUCCGCUCAUCUGAGUAGCGUCGGACCCACCUUGGCUGUCUAGAUUAUUGGGUUUUUAGGCUAUUAUUAUCAUUUUUAUGGGGCUAGCAGAUGGCAGCCCAAGUCUCGGAAUAUAUGAACAUCACCAGACUAUACUUCUCUGCUUCAAGAAUUAGGCUUUUUAUCAAGAAGUUAUGCCAUUGGGGUUUUCUAGAAUUUGAACCUUUUGGUAUUUUUUAAGAAUUAGGACCAAUGCAGUUUUUCAAGAGUUUUCCAUUGGGGGUUUUCAAGAAGUCAGACUGUUGGUGGUUUUCAAGAAUUCAGACCAUUGGAAUACUUAGACCACUUGCAUUCAGGUUAAGACUAUUACCACACAUCAUGUAUGCACCAUAGAUUAGCUCAGAGUAGAAGGGCGAGUAGGUUGAAAAUACGGACCCUAAUGUAUCGUGGUG